rnacentral:rRNA from 1 species
UGCCAGCAGCCGCGGUAAUACGUAGGUCACAAACGUUGUCCGGAAUUAUUGGGCGUAAAGGGUCCGUAGGCGGUUCGGUAAGUCUCUUGUGAAAUCUUCAGGCUCAACUUGAAGAGGUCGGGGGAUACUGCCGAACUUGAGACUGUCAGAGGCAAGUGGAAUUCCCGGUGUAGUGGUGAAAUGCGUAGAUAUCGGGAGGAACACCAGUGGCGAAAGCGGCUUGCUGGGACAGUUCUGACGCUGAGGGACGAAAGCGUGGGUAGCAAACCGGAUUAGAUA